rnacentral:rRNA from 1 species
CCUACGGGGAGCAGCAGUGGGGAAUAUUGGGCAAUGGGCGCAAGCCUGACCCAGCAAUGCCGCGUGAAGGAAGAAGGCUUUCGGGUUGUAAACUUCUUUGACAGGGGAAGAGCAGAAGACGGUACCCUGAAAACAAGCCACGGCUAACUACGUGCCAGCAGCCGCGGUAAUACGUACGUGGCAAGCGUUGUCCGGAUUUACUGGGUGUAAAGGGCGUGUAGCCGGGAAGGCAAGUCAGAUGUGAAAUCUGGAGGCUCAACCUCCAAAUUGCAUUUGAAACUGUUUUUCUUGAGUACUGGAGAGGCAGACGGAAUUCCUUGUGGAGCGGUGAAAUGCGGAGAUAUAAGGAGGAACACCAGUGGCGAAGGCGGUCUGCUGGACAGCAACUGACGGUGAGGCGCGAAAGCGUGGGGAGCAAACAGGAUUAGAUACCCCUGUAGUC